GACAGAGGGUGCAAACGUUGUUCGGAAUUACUGGCGUAAAGCGAGUGUAGGCGGUCUGCUAAGUCGGGUGUGAAAGCCCUGGGCUCAACCCAGGAAGUGCACUCGAAACUGGUAGGCUAGAGUACUGGAGAGGUUGGUGGAAUUCUCGGUGUAGAGGUGAAAUUCGUAGAUAUCGAGAGGAACACCGGUGGCGAAGGCGGCCAACUGGACAGAUACUGACGCUGAGACUCGAAAGCGUGGGGAGCAAACAGG
rnacentral:rRNA from 1 species